ACUUGUUUUGCUUUUUCAGUUGACUCUUCCGUUAAAGGUUAGGUUCUGUCAUCAAAGAUGGACAGCUUGAACAUUUAAGAAGCCAGAGGGAGUGGGUUCUGCUAUUGUGGAUGCAAAUUGUAUUCGUAGAAGAAAGUUAGAUUGACAUCAUACCCAUCAGAUUUCUCGCUUCCAAGAGUCCUCCAAUUGAUAUUGCUUCUCAUAUAGCGCAAAUUACUUGUGCAAAUAGUAUUAGGACAUUUCGGCUUGAAUUUUAUUGGUUACUACAUACAGCAGCAGGUGGCCCAUUUUGCUUCUCUGUGGAGCCGCGAUCUAUUAGCGUAUUGAGCAGUUCAAAUAGAUGGAGAGCCGCAUCGAGCAGCAAGUUGUACCAUUCCUGGUAGGAGCUAUAUGCUGCUCUUGCAAAGCAACAGAACCAUAUGGCUAAAAUGGUCCACCCAAAACACAAGGCGAGAAUCAAUAGAAGCAAAAUGGUUGCAAGAAUUCAGAAUAAGAUGCAUGAGUCGCCAAUAAUUACAUUUGCUGAUUGGUAUUUGAUUUGUAUGAUGCAAUGCAAGGUCGAGAUGUAGAGAGGAAAGGAAGUUAACCGUGAUUAUUUUCUGAUCAGCAUAACAUAUGUAUAGUGAGGGAGAGUAGGUGUUCACUUUUUCCUCCCUCCCCACACUUCCCUUCCUAACCCUGCCC
rnacentral:misc_RNA from 1 species